rnacentral:rRNA from 1 species
AAACUGCCUGAUGGAGGGGGAUAACUACUGGAAACGGUGGCUAAUACCGCAUAACGUCGCAAGACCAAAGAGGGGGACCUUCGGGCCUCUUGCCAUCAGAUGUGCCCAGAUGGGAUUAGCUUGUUGGUGAGGUAACGGCUCACCAAGGCGACGAUCCCUAGCUGGUCUGAGAGGAUGACCAGCCACACUGGAACUGAGACACGGUCCAGACUCCUACGGGAGGCAGCAGUGGGGAAUAUUGCACAAUGGGCGCAAGCCUGAUGCAGCCAUGCCGCGUGUAUGAAGAAGGCCUUCGGGUUGUAAAGUACUUUCAGCGGGGAGGAAGGUGUUGUGGUUAAUAACCGCAGCAAUUGACGUUACCCGCAGAAGAAGCACCGGCUAACUCCGUGCCAGCAGCCGCGGUAAUACGGAGGGUGCAAGCGUUAAUCGGAAUUACUGGGCGUAAAGCGCACGCAGGCGGUCUGUCAAGUCGGAUGUGAAAUCCCCGGGCUCAACCUGGGAACUGCAUUCGAAACUGGCAGGCUUGAGUCUUGUAGAGGGGGGUAGAAUUCCAGGUGUAGCGGUGAAAUGCGUAGAGAUCUGGAGGAAUACCGGUGGCGAAGGCGGCCCCCUGGACAAAGACUGACGCUCAG